UACAGAGGGGGCGAGCGUUGUUCGGAAUUACUGGGCGUAAAGGGCGCGUAGGCGGCCUUCUAAGUCGAACGUGAAAUCCCCGGGCUCAACCCGGGAACUGCGUCCGAUACUGGGAGGCUUGAAUCCGGGAGAGGGAUGUGGAAUUCCAGGUGUAGCGGUGAAAUGCGUAGAUAUCUGGAGGAACACCGGUGGCGAAGGCGGCUUUCUGGGUCUCACCUGACGCUGAGGAACGAAAGCCAGGGGAGCGAACGGG
rnacentral:rRNA from 1 species